UGAUUGUUUUGCUGCAGAAUUACUCUUUCCUUCAGCUUUUCAGCUUCCACACUCAGUUCAGACAUCAAGACUCGUGAACAUGUUUUCAUGAUAUCAUAAAGCUCAGCUGGACAGGUUUCCAUGCGUGGCAUUCGGUACCCUCGCUGAAGAGCAACCAUCACGUCUGAAUUGCUCAUACCUUCAGUGGAAGAAAGAAAGCUGUGCUGAAAUGCUCUCAGAUCCUAAAGGAACAUUUCUCCAUAUUAAAGGUCUUCACCCAGCAGGACAAGACUUCUAGCUAAAG